rnacentral:rRNA from 1 species
UAGGGAAUCUUCGGCAAUGGACGAAAGUCUGACCGAGCAACGCCGCGUGAGUGAAGAAGGGUUUCGGAUCGUAAAACUCUGUUGUUAGAGAAGAACAAGUGGGAGAGUAACUGUUCCCACCUUGACGGUAUCUAACCAGAAAGCCACGGCUAACUACGUGCCAGCAGCCGCGGUAAUACGUAGGUGGCAAGCGUUGUCCGGAUUUAUUGGGCGUAAAGCGAGCGCAGGCGGUUUCUUAAGUCUGAUGUGAAAGCCCUCGGCUCAACCGAGGAAGGUCAUUGGAAACUGGGGAACUUGAAUGCAGAAGAGGAGAGUGGAAUUCCAUGUGUAGCGGUGAAAUGCGUAGAUAUAUGGAGGAACACCAGUGGCGAAGGCGACUCUCUGGUCUGUAAUUGACGCUGAGGCUCGAAAGCGUGGGGAGCAAACAGG